GUAAGUGUUCAUAGCUGCUUCGGUAGCCGCUUGUAAGUUAACACAUAUGGGAGGAAUGGAGAGGGAGUAGGAUUUUCGGAAGGUUAUCGGGUGGGUGAGCGGGGAAGAUAACUUUGGUUUUUGAGAUAGUACUUGUUAUUUUCCCUACUCCACCCAUCCCAUAGGUUUCCGAUCAUUCCUCCCUCUCCUCAUCACUCUGCUUCUCAUGGCCUGUUUAUCUGGAUUCUGGAUCUAGUCUAUCUCAUCUGCUAGUGAAUAGUUCUACGUUUUCUUGAAGCCCUCAUCUACUAUCUGAACGUUGAGCAGACCCCGGGCAUGGAAGGUCCAAACUGACAAGCUGUGACUCGAAUAUAAGCAUUCGUUGACUGACACUGCACCCUGAACGCCGUCCUUUAUUACAGCAUCAAAAUAAAGGCAGCCAUAGUUUUAAAUUUUCAAACUUAAAUCAGAACAACCCAGUCAACGGAAAGCAAAGCAAAUAAGCAUAUGCUGGGGGGAUGAUUUCAACUACUCGGAUGAUGUUAUAAGAGAGGCCUGCAAACAUAGGUUUGCUUGACAUGUUUUAACUCGGAUUAAACUUCUCCAUGUGAAGAGAAGUGUUGAGCAGCUGUAUUAUUGGAACACAAACCAUUGGUUAACUGGUGAAACCGGUUGAAAUCUUCCACAAUAACCUGUCAUGAAUCUCUGGAGCAAACUUCAUAACUCUCUGGCCAUCUCCACAAGUUCUCAGAUUCUUCUUUAUACGAAUUGGUGCCCCAGCAGGAGGUGUGCUUGAAGCUAAAAUGCAAGGGCGAGUUUCUCAGUGAUCCCACAUGCUCUGCUCCUAGUUUCAGGCUUUCAGCUACAUACCAGUUUUUCUUCGCCAAGUCCUCCAACUUUCUCAGCGUAUCAUAAAUCUCAUCUGCCCUUAAACAUUUAUUUUAUUUCACUAAUUCUUUUUAAUGGUCUCCAGAUAAUGUUGACAUCUUCUUAUUAAAAUUGUUCAAAAAACAAUAGCUCGAUUUGAUUUGAUUUUUUUUCAACUAAAACCCAUUUAAAAAAAAUUGAACAUAUUAGGAAACGGAAGAGUCGUAGAGCAGCACAGAGCACAUGCCGAAAAUGCUGCCUGCUUUGAUAAAAGAAAUGGGCCCGCAGAGCUAUUGCUGCAGUGUCGGUGGGUGCUGGUGCUGGGAAAAUGCUCGAUGUGGUCCUUUGGAUUUGAAAAUCUUAUCGGUAAUAUCGCAGAGCACAUCCUAACGGAUCUUUAUGUUCAUUAAAGUCUGACUUUAAUUAUCUGCUUAAAACAUGGACCCUCAAAAAUGGUUCCAUCUCAUGCACCAAGACAGAAGAAUAAAGUGAGAUGAUUUACCCAUUGUUGUGGGCAGGAGGGGGUGUUAGACCACGACAUCUGUAAUAUUUGAAUUAUUUAAUCCAUCUUAGCCGGUUAAAAUUA